rnacentral:rRNA from 1 species
UACGAAGGGGGCUAGCGUUGCUCGGAAUCACUGGGCGUAAAGCGCACGUAGGCGGAUUGUUAAGUCAGGGGUGAAAUCCUGGAGCUCAACUCCAGAACUGCCUUUGAUACUGGCGAUCUCGAGUCCGGGAGAGGUGGAGUGGAACUGCGAGUGUAGAGGUGAAAUUCGUAGAUAUUAGGAAGAACACCAGUGGCGAAGGCGGACUCACUG